GCACCACCGCCCCACCGAGAAAGUUCACCUACAUCGUUCAACCAGGGUGCCGCCUCUGUUCGUGGGCGUGCAGGCUCGUUCGGCGAGAAGCCCGAAGCGACUACCGCAGCACCCACCUACUGGCUGUAGGGGUUGGACUUCACCGGUCGGGGCGGUGGAGUC
rnacentral:other from 1 species